UACGAAGGGGGCAAGCGUUAUCCGGAAUUAUUGGUCGUAAAGCGCGCGCAGGCGGUUAAUUAAGUCAGAUGUGAAAGGCUACGGCUCAACCGUAGGGAUGCAUUUGAAACUGGUUAACUUUAGUGCAGGAGAGGUGAGUGGAAUUCCCGGUGUAGCGGUGGAAUGGGUAAAGAUAGGGAGGAACGCCAGUGGCGAAGGCGGCUAACUAGCCUGCAACUGAAGCUGAGGCGCGAAAGCGUGGGGAGCGAACAGG
rnacentral:rRNA from 1 species